CCUACGGGAGGCAGCAGUGGGGAAUAUUGGACAAUGGGGGCAACCCUGAUCCAGCCAUGCCGCGUGUGUGAAGAAGGCCCUCGGGUUGUAAAGCACUUUCAGUGAGGAAGAACGCCUGGUGGUUAAUACCCAUCAGGAAAGACAUCACUCACAGAAGAAGCACCGGCUAACUCCGUGCCAGCAGCCGCGGUAAUACGGAGGGUGCGAGCGUUAAUCGGAAUUACUGGGCGUAAAGCGCGCGUAGGUGGCUUGAUAAGCCGGUUGUGAAAGCCCCGGGCUCAACCAGGGAACGGCAUCCGGAACUGUCAAGCUAGAGUGCAGGAGAGGAAGGUAGAAUUCCCGGUGUAGCGGUGAAAUGCGUAGAGAUCGGGAGGAAUACCAGUGGCGAAGGCGGCCUUCUGGACUGACACUGACACUGAGGUGCGAAAGCGUGGGUAGCAAACAGGAUUAGAUACCCUUGUAGUC
rnacentral:rRNA from 1 species